CUAACAGUGUAUUGAUUAUGAAUUGUUCUGACUCCAGGGAGGUCAAGGUAUCCGUGGACUGAAGGGCCACAAGGGAGAGAAGGGAGAAGACGGUUUCCCUGGAAUAAAGGGAGAUUUCGGUUCAAAGGGAGAGAGGGGAGAGCUUGGAGUCUCAGGGCCCAGAGGAGAGGAUGGUCCAGAGGGGCCAAAGGGUCGUGUUGGACCCCCUGGUGAGCUCGGGCCACUUGGAUUGG